GCACUGCUGAGGAGUCCCACAAUAGGACGAAAGGCCGUCCAGUGC
rfam:Schistosoma mattheei strain Denwood, Zambia genome assembly, scaffold: SMTD_contig0003807